rnacentral:rRNA from 1 species
UACAGAGGUCUCAAGCGUUGUUCGGAUUCAUUGGGCGUAAAGGGUGCGUAGGUGGCGGGGCAAGUUUGGUGUGAAAUCCUAGGGCUCAACCCUGGAACUGCACUGAAUACUGCUUUGCUAGAGUACUGGAGAGGGAACUGGAAUUCAUGGUGUAGCAGUGAAAUGCGUAGAGAUCAUGAGGAAGACCAGUGGCGAAGGCGGGUCUCUGGACAGUUCCUGACACUGAGGCACGAAGGCCAGGGGAGCAAACGGG